rnacentral:rRNA from 1 species
GAUGAACGCUAGCGGCAGGCUUAAUACAUGCAAGUCGUGGGGCAGCAUGAGUGUAGCAAUACAUUUGAUGGCGACCGGCAAACGGGUGCGGAACACGUACAGAACCCUCCUUCAAGCGGGGCAUAGCCCAGAGAAAUUUGGAUUAAUACCCCAUAAUAUAAUGAAGAGGCAUCUCUUUGUUAUUAAAGAUUUAUCACUUGAAGAUGGCUGUGCGGCUGAUUAGGUAGUUGGCGGGGUAACGGCCCACCAAGCCUGCGAUCAGUAACUGGUGUGAGAGCACGACCAGUCACACGGGCACGGAGACACGGGCCCGACUCCUACGGGAGGCAGCAGUAAGGAAUAUUGGUCAAUGGACGCAAGUCUGAACCAGCCAUGCCGCGUGGAGGAUGAAGGUCCUCUGGAUUGUAAACUUCUUUUAUAUGGGACGAAAAAAGGCUUUUCUAAGUCGUCUGACGGUACCAUAUGAAUAAGCACCGGCUAACUCCGUGCCAGCAGCCGCAGUAAGAC